GACGAACGCUGGCGGCGUGCUUAACACAUGCAAGUCGAACGGAAAGGCCCUGCUUUUGUGGGGUGCUCGAGUGGCGAACGGGUGAGUAACACGUGAGUAACCUGCCCUUGACUUUGGGAUAACUUCAGGAAACUGGGGCUAAUACCGGAUAGGAGCUCCUGCUGCAUGGUGGGGGUUGGAAAGUUUCGGCGGUUGGGGAUGGACUCGCGGCUUAUCAGCUUGUUGGUGGGGUAGUGGCUUACCAAGGCUUUGACGGGUAGCCGGCCUGAGAGGGUGACCGGCCACAUGGGGACUGAGAGACGGCCCAGACUCCUACGGGAGGCAGCAGUGGGGAAUAUUGCACAAUGGGCGGAAGCCUGAUGCAGCAACGCCGCGUGCGGGAUGACGGCCUUCGGGUUGUAAACCGCUUUCGCCUGUGACGAAGCGUGAGUGACGGUAAUGGGUAAAGAAGCACCGGCUAACUACGU
rnacentral:rRNA from 1 species